rnacentral:rRNA from 1 species
GAUCCUGGCUUAGGAUGAACGCUAGCUACAGGCUUAACACAUGCAAGUCGAGGGGCAGCAUGAACUUAGCUUGCUAAGUUUGAUGGCGACCGGCGCACGGGUGAGUAACACGUAUCCAACCUGCCGAUGACUCGGGGAUAGCCUUUCGAAAGAAAGAUUAAUACCCGAUGGCAUAAUUCUUCCGCACGGUAGAACUAUUAAAGAAUUUCGGUCAUCGAUGGGGAUGCGUUCCAUUAGGUUGUUGGG